CUACGGGAGGCAGCAGUAAGGAAUAUCGGACAAUGGACGAAAGUCUGAUCCAGCCAUCCCGCGUGCAGGAUGACGGCCCUAUGGGUUGUAAACUGCUUUUAUGAGAGAAGAAACGCCUUGUUUUAUACAGGGUCUGACGGUAUCUCAUGAAUAAGCACCGGCUAACUCCGUGCCAGCAGCAGCGGUAAUACGGAGGGUGCAAGCGUUAUCCGGAAUCACUGGGUUUAAAGGGUGCGUAGGCGGUUAGGUAAGUCAGAGGUGAAAUGCUGUCGCUCAACGAUAGAAUUGCCUUUGAUACUGCUUAACUUGAAUCAGAAUGAGGUUGGCGGAAUGUGACAUGUAGCGGUGAAAUGCAUAGAUAUGUCAUGGAAUACCGAUUGCGAAGGCAGCUGACUGGCACUUGAUUGACGCUGAGGCACGAAAGCGUGGGGAGCGAACAGGAUUAGAUACCCCCGUAGUC
rnacentral:rRNA from 1 species